AACGCACAUUGCGCCCCCCGGUAUUCCGGGGGGCAUGCCUGUUCGAGCGUCAUUACACCAAUCAAGCCCAGGCUCGGAUUUGGGCGCGGCCGCGGGCACACCAGCCCGCGGCCCGCCCCAAAGGAAUCGGCGAGGACCAGAGACCCCGGCGUGUUAGAACUGUCCUCGGACAUUACGCCCGGAGCACCCCUGGGCCCGACCCGUGACACCCGCCGGCCCCGCCGGCGGAACACCUCAAAGGUUGACCUCGGAUCAGGUAGGGAUACCCGCUGAACUUAA
rnacentral:misc_RNA from 1 species